CGAAGCUGAGCGGCGAUGCCGGGCCCUGCAGCGUCCGGCCCUGACCGCGCAGGUCGAACUGCAUGCAUUACAUGACCAGAAAUACACAGAGGAUUAAUCCGCCAGUGCUUAUUUUAAAGCAUCGUGUUGUCUCUAAAGGGCAAUGCUGUUGGCGGGCACAGCGCAGCACGAUGAAGCCAACCCCACUCAGAGGAGCAGGUCCCAAGCUGCUGGCGCCGGCCCGAGGUAAGGGAGCAGAACAGAAGCUGAGGAGCUGGUGCAGGGUCCUCGCCGCACCCGAGCAACCCCUCUCGCCCCUUUCCCGUUCUGGGCCAUCGAUCGGGACGUUCUGGGUUCCGCCGCUUCCGCCGGCGUGGCCCAGGCCCAUGGGGGGCGGGGACAUACCGGGGACUGCGGGUGUCGGUCCCAGUCCGGCACUCGUCGUCACCAUCUCUGUUCUGACACAAGACGUGGUGGCCACGCUCCCUGCCGUCACCGCUGACCCCGGACGGCCGGCCCCGGUGACGCUGGUCCCCUCCGAGCGACGCGCCACCACAUCUGAGCGCCAGGCAACCGGUUUUGUCACUUGCUUUGAGACGCAUCCUGCCUGGUCUCUCUUGUUUCAUUACCCGAAAUCCCAGAGAAACCACCCGGCAGGAUCAAUCAGUC
rnacentral:lncRNA from 1 species